rnacentral:lncRNA from 1 species
UGAGUGUCCAAGUGAUUCCAAAGUGCAGAAGACAUCAGAUUCCACAGAAGCCGUAGAGGCUUUCCAGCUCACGCCUCAGCAGCAACGGCUGAUCAAGGAAGACUGUCAGAACCAGAAGCUGUGGGAUGAAGUGCUGGCGUCUCUUGUAGAAGGACCGAGUAAAGUUGGGCAUGGUGGCACACGCCUUGAGUCCCACACACCAGGAGCAGAGGCCACUGAGUUUGAGGACAGUCUGGUCUACAACAUACUGAGUUCCAGGACAGCCAGGACUACAUAGAGGGAUCUGUCUGUUGAGGAGGAUGGUGGUGGAGGAAGAGGAUGUUGCUGCUUGCUAUUGAUGAUGAUGGACCCCAUUUUAGAAUUUUCUGAAGAAAUUGGAACAGUCUUUUAUGUGUGUGUGCUGCCAAGAACUAGUGUACCAGCCUGUCACAACAGAAUGCUUUCACAACGUCUGUAAGGAUUGCUUACAGCGCUCCUUUAAGGCCCAGGUUUUCUCCUGCCCUGCUUGCCGGCAUGACCUUGGGCAGAAUUACAUCAUGACUCUAAAUGAGACCCUCCAAACCGUCCUUGACCUUUUCUUCCCCGGCUACAGCAAAGGCCGGUGAUCUGCGUGCUUCUGUGUCGUUCCUGGUGGAUUUUUGGACAAUAACAAGUCUAAAAAUGAGUGGGGAGGGUUAAAGCAAUGCUGGACCGUGUCUCUCGUCGGGAAGCAGCAGCAUCUCUUUCCCUGUGCACCCUCCUGUGUGUGUAGUA